rnacentral:sRNA from 1 species
AUUUACCCCAGAUUGAAGUGGAAAGCAUUUUUCUAGACCGAUUUGUUUUUUUCUUGAGCAAAAAGAGCGACCAAAGGAAGCUCCUUUAUGGUCUUAGAAAAAAGGAGGUCUGGAAAAAUCUUGUAACAGAAAGCUGGAAAUAGG